UUCAAUAUAAGCCUCAUUUUUCAUUGUUCUCACAAAAAAACCAAUCUUCAUCCACAAAAUCUCAGCAUACCCAUCUGUCACUCUUCUACCCAUACCUCCCUUUUGCAGUGCUUCAACCUUCUUCAUAUUCCAUACACUAUACUCCCUUCAUCUUGCCUUGCAAGCUUCAACACCAACGAACUUACCAUCGCCCACCUUCUAUCUGCUCCAUUCUCCGAGCAUACGCCCUCUGUAUAUCUUCUUCAUCACCUUCGAAUAACACCAUCUCCCUCCUCUUCGUCAAAAUACCCACACAAACACAAUCUCAAUAAUCCACUACCACUCCUUCACUCUCGUACUCCCUUCGUUGGAACUUCAAUUUCAUCAUCCGAUUCACGGCACACACAAUCUCAACAACUACUCUCUGUUAACCACCUCUCUACCGCCAAUAAGAUCCCUCCAUCAAUUCCCUCUGUAACACAUACAUCAUCCACUUCUAACAACCUUCUUCCGCUAACUUCCAUAAACUCGCAAUUGUCUCGUUCAGCCUCCCCGCUUCCGCUUGCCAACUCCAUUUUGUCUCAGUAUCGCGACAUUUUCCUGCUCGUCACUAACCCCCACGAGCCAAUAUCGCCUCCAACCACUUGUUUCUGCGACAACAGACUGCUCAAUCUC